rnacentral:rRNA from 1 species
AGCCUAUCUCAGUUCGGAUUGGAGGCUGAAACCCGCCUCCAUGAAGUUGGAUUCGCUAGUAAUCGCGCAUCAGCCAUGGCGCGGUGAAUACGUUCCCGGGCCUUGUACACACCGCCCGUCAAGCCAUGGGAGCUGGGGGUGCCUGAAGUUCGUGACCGCAAGGAUCGACCUAGGGCAAAACCGGUGACUGGGGCUAAGUCGUAACAAGGUAAC